rnacentral:rRNA from 2 species
AAAGAAACCAACAGGGAUUGCCUCAGUAACGGCGAGUGAAGCGGCAAGAGCUCAAAUUUGAAAGCUGGCUCCUUCGGGGUCCGCAUUGUAAUUUGCAGAGGAUGCUUCGGGUGCGGCCCCUAUCUAAGUGCCCUGGAACGGGCCGUCGGAGAGGGUGAGAAUCCCGUCUGGGAUAGGGUGUCCGCGUCCGUGUGAAGCUCCUUCGACGAGUCGAGUUGUUUGGGAAUGCAGCUCUAAAUGGGUGGUAAAUUUCAUCUAAAGCUAAAUACUGGCCGGAGACCGAUAGCGCACAAGUAGAGUGAUCGAAAGAUGAAAAGCACUUUGAAAAGAGAGUUAAAAAGCACGUGAAAUUGUUGAAAGGGAAGCGCUUGCGACCAGACUCGCCUUCAGGGUUCAGCCGGCACUCGUGCCGGUGUACUUCCCUGGAGGCGGGCCAGCGUCGGUUUGGGCGGCCGGUCAAAGGCUCCCGGAAUGUAGUGCCCUCCGGGGCACCUUAUAGCCGGGAGUGCAAUGCGGCCAGCCUGGACCGAGGAACGCGCUUCGGCACGGACGCUGGCAUAAUGGUCGCAAACGAC